UGGGGAAUAUUGGACAAUGGGGGGAACCCUGAUCCAGCCAUGCCGCGUGUGUGAAGAAGGCCUUAUGGUUGUAAAGCACUUUAAGCGAGGAGGAGGGUACUGGUAUUAAUACUACCAGGUACUGGACGUUACUCGCAGAAUAAGCACCGGCUAACUCUGUGCCAGCAGCCGCGGUAAUACAGAGGGUGCGAGCGUUAAUCGGAUUUACUGGGCGUAAAGCGUGCGUAGGCGGCUAAUUGAGUCGGAUGUGAAAUCCCCGGGCUCAACCUGGGAACUGCAUCCAAAACUGGCGAGCUAGAGUAGGGCAGAGGGUGGUGGAAUUUCCUGUGUAGCGGUGAAAUGCGUAGAUAUAGGAAGGAACACCAGUGGCGAAGGCGACCACCUGGGCUCAUACUGACACUGAGGUGCGAAAGCGUGGGGAGCAAACAGG
rnacentral:rRNA from 1 species